CAGGUGUUAAAAAAUAAAUGACUGAGAGAGUCAUCUGAUCAGCCUACACCAGAGAAAAAUAUGGAGGAGGAAUUACACCGUGAUCUUGAGGAAAUAAUGGCUGAUUUGGAGUAGAUGCAGAGUGAAGAAGCAAUCAAAACACCACCUAAAAAACAAAAAAGAAAAAAGAUUGAUCAUAAACUUAGGUAGAAAAAAAGACACCAAGAAGGAUUCUUGGUCUAUGAGAAGCGCAAACCAAAGAAAGACCGAUCUGGAAAACCAGUUGCCUCAACCAUUGUCUCCGCAAGUAACCCUCAAGAAGUUGAGCUCGAAACUGCAAGCACAUCUGAAGCCUCAACUUCCAAACAACAUUUUGGAGAUGUAGAUGCACAACAGAUUAUUGAUUUACAACAACAGCUACUCCAAAAUGCAAUGAAGUGUGAUGAACCCAGAUCAGCAGCAUCUCAUGAUUGGGCAUUGAGGCAAACCUUGUCUGAAGAAUACUGGGAGGAAGCAAGGCCAAAACUCCUUGACAGUUUGCUUGCUUCAGACUGUGUGAAUUAUGGUCCUUGUGAUCACUGCAGCUUGAAAGAAGCAGUCAUCAGGUGCAAGGACUGUUUCCCGAAACCCCGUAACUGUGGCCAGUGUGACGUUUCCCCCAGCGUUCCCAUAACUUUCACUAACAUUAUGUGAAAGUUAUGUAAAUGUUAGAAAGAAAAACGUUCCUGACAUAAUGUUUCUGGAACAGUCUUAUAAUGUUUUCAUAGUUAAAAUACAUUGUCGUAACGUUGAGGGAAAACGUUUUCAUAACAACAUUCUUGUAACGUCUGUAUGAUGUUUUUUUUUUUACUUGACUGAUGUUCUCAUAAUGUUGAGG
ensembl:lncRNA